rnacentral:rRNA from 1 species
GACGAACGCUGGCGGCGUGCUUAACACAUGCAAGUCGAACGGAAAGGCCCUGCUUUUGUGGGGUGCUCGAGUGGCGAACGGGUGAGUAACACGUGAGUAACCUGCCCUUGACUUUGGGGUAACUUCAGGAAACUGGGGCUAAUACCGGAUAGGAGCUCCUGCUGCAUGGUGGGGGUUGGAAAGUUUCGGCGGGUGGGGAUGGACUCGCGGCUUAUCAGCUUGUUGGUGGGGUAGUGGCUUACCAAGGCUUUGACGGGUAGCCGGCCUGAGAGGGUGACCGGCCACAUUGGGACUGAGAUACGGCCCAGACUCCUACGGGAGGCAGCAGUGGGGAAUAUUGCACAAUGGGCGGAAGCCUGAUGCAGCAACGCCGCGUGCGGGAUGACGGCCUUCGGGUUGUAAACCGCUUUCGCCUGUGACGAAGCGUGAGUGACGGUAAUGGGUAAAGAAGCACCGGCUAACUACGUG